rnacentral:lncRNA from 1 species
AAAAUUGAUACAUAAUUAUAAAUGUCUUUUUUUCGACUCAAGGAUGAAGAUGAUGAUGGCCCAAUAGAGUUCUUACAGUUAAAGAAAUACAGGAAAAUUGGUUCAGUGGUAAGUUCAAACUACUUACUUCGAAAACUUAAUCCUGAAUUGUACGCAUAAUGUUACAUUAUUGAAACGUUUACUUAACGUGAUUCACUUUAUAAAAAGGUAUUGACACAUUAAUAAGAACACAAUUAUAAAUCUUCUGUUUGCAAAACUCGAAUAUAUUUUGAAAUACUAUGGAUUUUCUACCUUAUAUAAAUAUUACCUUGGCUGUUUUUAUCAAUUAUGAGUCAAUGAUGGGUCUUUUGAAGACGAAACGCGCGUAUCGCGUACAAAAUAUUACUUUAGGUAUCUAUGAUGAGCUGUCACGAAAAUAAGAAGAUUGUCAAGAAACAUUUUGGUCUGUGAAAAUAGUUAUUGUUUAAGUGACAUUUGAACUGUUAGGUUUUAAGUUGUUGUUACAUCAACGACCUGACAGCUUUUAACUUUUACGAAACACUAUUUUUGUUUGUUUUUUUUAUUUUACGUUAUGCUCAUUAUCUUGCAUGUUGCGAUGAUCUUUACUCAACCCGAUGUGACUUCUUAAAAAGUCUUAAGAUCUACUCUAAAAUAUCAUAAAUAACUCUCAUAACUUUGCAAUAAUAGCAAUAAUUUGAUUUUUCUAUUCUAUAUAUGUAUUUAUAAAAUAAAUGACGAUAAACUUUAACCAAUUAUAAAAAAAAAAUGUCUAUAUAUAAUAAAUAUAUAUAAUUUACAAUAAGUACUAUUGCAUAUGAUUUAUUUACUUUUUAAGGAACACAUGCCUUGGAAUCUCAAACAGGACAGUAAAACAAAAUACCGAAAAGGUCCAGAUGACGAAAGCAUUGUUUGAAAUUAAGAACACUUUUUUUCUGAUGAAUGUUGAACAUUUACAAAAGUGUUAAUUUCCAUGCAAGUGCUAUUGACAAUUUGAGUUGUUUGGUUUCAGAGAUUUUUUCAUGAUUGACCAAAGAUGUUUGUUGGUUAAUUGUGUGGUGUUUUUUUCUUUAUAUCUUUAUUCAAUAAGAAUUUACUCGACCUGUUUUGUUUGAGAAUUUUUGUCUUCAUUA